CGGGGUGAGUAACGCGUGGGCAACCUGCCCCAUAGAGGGGGACAACAGCUGGAAACGGCUGCUAAUACCGCAUAACAAGGAGAGAGCGCAUGUUCUUUUCUUCAAAGAUUUAUCGCUAUGGGAUGGACCCGCGUCUGAUUAGCUGGUUGGUGAGGUAACGGCUCACCAAGGCGACGAUCAGUAGCCGGCUUGAGAGAGUGGACGGCCACAUUGGGACUGAGACACGGCCCAGACUCCUACGGGAGGCAGCAG
rnacentral:rRNA from 1 species